rnacentral:rRNA from 1 species
CAGGACGAACGCUGGCGGCGUGCUUCAUACAUGCAAGUCGAACGAGAAGCUGACUUCGGUCAGUGGAAAGUGGCGGACGGGUGAGUAACACGUAGGAAAUCUGCCCUUUGGAGGGGGACAACAGUUGGAAACGACUGCUAAUACCCCAUAUGAGCUAAGUUGAAAUACUUAUCUUGAAAACUCCGGUGCCAAAGGAUUUGAGCCUGCGCCUGAUUAGCUUGUUGGUGGUGUAAUGGACUACCAAGGCGACGAUCAGUAGCUGGUUUGAGAGGAUGAUCAGCCACAAUGGGACUGAGACACGGCCCAUACUCCUACGGGAGGCAGCAGUAGGGAAUUUUGCGCAAUGGGCGAAAGCCCUGACGCAGCAACGCCGCGUGAUUGAUGAAGCCCUUCGGGGUGUAAAGAUCUGUCAGCGGGGACGAAAUUUGACGGUACCCACAAAGGAAGCACCGGCUAACUCCGUGCCAGCCGCCGC